rnacentral:rRNA from 1 species
AGAGUUUGAUCAUGGCUCAGAUUGAACGCUGGCGGCAUGCCUUACACAUGCAAGUCGAACGCGAAAGGGGGGCAACCCCCGAGUAGAGUGGCGAACGGGUGAGUAAUACAUCGGAACGUACCCAGUAGCGGGGGAUAACCUCUCGAAAGAGAGGCUAAUACCGCAUACGUCCUACGGGAGAAAGAGGGGGAUCGCAAGACCUCUCACUAUUGGAGCGGCCGAUGUCGGAUUAGCUAGUUGGUGGGGUAACGGCCCACCAAGGCGACGAUCCGUAGCUGGUCUGAGAGGACGGCCAGCCACACUGGAACUGAGACACGGUCCAGACUCCUACGGGAGGCAGC